ensembl:lncRNA
CGGAUAGAGGGCGCUGGUGAGCAGCGUGGACUUGAUGAUAAUGAAUGUCUGGAAAAUAGUUUCCUUCCAUUAAUUAACUCCAAGCCAUAUUAACCCAGGCGAAAGGAGAGGGAGGGAAACGAAUCAAUAGCUAACUUUAGUGAGCUCCAGUGAGGUCGUUUUAAUGAAGGAAGUUAAAUAUAAUUAGGUUGUUUUGUAUUUUUUCAGGCUGUAGGCGACAAACUCAUCACACUGAAGCCUAGCUAAACUCUUUAAACUCAUUAAGGCAUUAAUGGGCUCCAGACUUCUGUUUAAGCAGUCAAGAAAAUAAAACAGCAUUUGAUGUUACUGAGGAAAGUGUAAACUCCUAUUGUGAAGACCGUCAUGUGGUGGAAAACCUCCUGACUGUUACAAAGUACUGAAACCGGAGACUCCUUCCAUGUUAUUAGACAUGGAAGUCCCUGUGAAUGACUUGUUGCUAUAGAAACAAUAACGUAUUAUGCUGGGAGGUUCGGGCGUACGAGUUCGGAGCUGGAGCCCCUGUCAGAGCUGCUGCUGCUCCAGAAAAUGAAUCGACGCCUUCUGACCAAUCAGAUUUGAGAAAUCGGCACCACUGUGGUGUGAUCAUUUUUAUAUUGCAGAGCAGAUGAUGAUGAUGAUGAUGAUGAUGAUGAUGAUCAUCGCUCGAAGGAGGAAGUGACCGAAGUUCCGAGCACGGACCGUUUGCUCUUCACGGUGUCUUCUGGUCUCGUCCACGCUGAGCUCUGCGUUCUGCUCUACUUGCGAGGAUGGAU